GUUUGCAUCUCUUCUCUUUAACAUCUUAAUUCCCUUCUCUCUCUUUCUGCUCAACAUUCCAAUCUGAAAAUUUCUAGCCGUGCACGGAGAAAAAGCAGUGCAACAGCAAUUCAUCGUAAUCAAAGUGUAGCACCGAAAAAGGGCAAAAACGAGUUACAGAGUAAAGUGUGAGGGAGAAUUUAGAGUCAAAGGCACAAUUAAUUCUAAAGAAACUUAGAAGCACAAAAAUGUCCGUGCUGCUUGCUGUCUGUAGCAGCAGCUGUCUGUAGCAGUGAACGUCUUGAGAAGGUUGGAUUGAUCUUUCGCUAUUAUGGAAAUUCAAAGAAUAGAAGUCACAUUAUAGAAGAAAUGACUAAAGAUCCUCAGGAGACGAGCCUAAACUCGGAGCAAGCUUCUGCCUAAUUUACCUCUUAUUAUUAUUGUGGCUGAUUAUAAUGGAAGAUAUGGUAUUUUAAAUUGUAUUCGAGUACAUACAUUGUUAUUGUGCUCCCAUGGAUAUAAAUAUUGUACUAUUUGGUAACCAUACAUCUAUUUAUUGAUUUCUUUCUGAAAUACAUGUCCCUAAUUGUUGGAUUGAGUAA